GCUCAGGACGAACGCUGGCGGCGUGCUUAACACAUGCAAGUCGAACGGUAAGGCCCCUUCGGGGGUACACGAGUGGCGAACGGGUGAGUAACACGUGGGUAAUCUGCCCUGCACUUCGGGAUAAGCCUGGGAAACUGGGUCUAAUACCGGAUAUGAACUCCUGCCGCAUGGUGGGGGUUGGAAAGUUUUUCGGUGCAGGAUGAGCCCGCGGCCUAUCAGCUUGUUGGUGGGGUAAUGGCCUACCAAGGCGACGACGGGUAGCCGGCCUGAGAGGGUGAUCGGCCACACUGGGACUGAGACACGGCCCAGACUCCUACGGGAGGCAGCAGUGGGGAAUAUUGCACAAUGGGCGAAAGCCUGAUGCAGCGACGCCGCGUGGGGGAUGACGGUCUUCGGAUUGUAAACCCCUUUCAGUAGGGACGAAGCGCAAGUGACGGUACCUGCAGAAGAAGCACCGGCUAACUACGUGCCAGCAGCCGCGGUAAUACGUAGGGUGCGAGCGUUGUCCGGAAUUACUGGGCGUAAAGAGCUCGUAGGCGGUUUGUCACGUCGUCUGUGAAAUCCCUCGGCUUAACCGGGGGCGUGCAGGCGAUACGGGCAGACUUGAGUACUACAGGGGAGACUGGAAUUCCUGGUGUAGCGGUGAAAUGCGCAGAUAUCAGGAGGAACACCGGUGGCGAAGGCGGGUCUCUGGGUAGU
rnacentral:rRNA from 1 species